AGAGUUUGAUCAUGGCUCAGAUUGAACGCUGGCGGCGUGCUUAACACAUGCAAGUCGAGCGGUAACAGGUGUAGCAAUACAUGCUGACGAGCGGCGAACGGGUGAGUAAUGCUUCGGAAUCUACCCAAUGGCGGGGAAUAACUAGCCGAAAGGUUAGCUAAUACCGCAUAAGCCCUACGGGGGAAAGCAGGGGAUCGUAAGACCUUGCACCGAUGGAUGAGCCGAAGUCGGAUUAGCUAGUUGGUAGGGUAACGGCCUACCAAGGCGACGAUCCGUAGCUGGUCUGAGAGGACGACCAGCCACACUGGGACUGAGACACGGCCCAGACUCCUACGGGAGGCAGCAGUGGGGAAUAUUGGACAAUGGGGGAAACCCUGAUCCAGCGACGCCGCGUGUGUGAAGAAGGCCUGCGGGUUGUAAAGCACUUUUAGUGGGGAAGAAAUGUUCAGGGUUAAUACCCCUGGAUCUUGACGUAACCCAAAGAAAAAGCACCGGCUAACUCUGUGCCAGCAGCCGCGGUAAUACAGAGGGUGCAAGCGUUAAUCGGAAUUACUGGGCGUAAAGCGUGCGUAGACGGUUAUGUAAGUCGGGUGUGAAAGCCCCGGGCUCAACCUGGGAAUUGCAUUCGAGACUGCAUAGCUAGGGUACGGAAGAGGGAAGCGGAAUUUCAGGUGUAGCGGUGAAAUGCGUAGAUAUCUGAAGGAACACCAGUGGCGAAAGCGGCUUCCUGGUCCAGUACCGACGUUCAGGCACGAAAGCGUGGGGAGCAAACAGGAUUAGAUACCCUAGUAGUCC
rnacentral:rRNA from 1 species